GUCGCUUCGCCUUUUGGCUAAGAUCAAGUGUAGUAUUCAGCUCAAUAGUUUAAUAGCCUGAUACGCCCCUACCCGGGGACCAUAUAUUAAAUUGCUUUUUGGAGCAGGGAGAUGGAAUAGCUUGCUCCGGCCCCCCACGCAUCGACCUGGCAUUGCAGUAUUCCCGAACGUGCGCCCUCUUC